GUGUCAGCCGCCGCGGUAAUACAGAGGUCCCAAGCGUUGUUCGGAUUCAUUGGGCGUAAAGGGUGCGUAGGUGGCAUGGUAAGUCGGGUGUGAAAUCCCGGGGCUCAACCCCGGAACUGCACUCGAUACUGCCGUGCUCGAGUACUGGAGAGGAGACUGGAAUUUACGGUGUAGCAGUGAAAUGCGUAGAUAUCGUAAGGAAGACCGGUGGCGAAGGCUAGUCUCUGGACAGUUACUGACACUGAGGCACGAAGGCCAGGGGAGCAAACGGGAUUAGAAACCCGCGUAGUCC
rnacentral:rRNA from 1 species